rnacentral:tRNA from 3 species
GCGCCCGUAGCUCAGUUGGAUAGAGUACCUGGCUUCGAACCAGGUGGUCGGGAGUUCGAAUCUCUCCGGGCGCGCCA